rnacentral:rRNA from 1 species
AUGCAGUCGAGCGGCAGCGGGCUGUAGCAAUACAGUGCCGGCGAGCGGCGGACGGGUGAGGAAUACAUCGGAAUCUACCUUGUCGUGGGGGAUAACGUAGGGAAACUUACGCUAAUACCGCAUACGAACUACGGUUGAAAGCGGAGGACCGCAAGGCUUCGCGCGAUUGGAUGAGCCGAUGUCGGAUUAGCUAGUUGGCGGGGUAAUGGCCCACCAAGGCGACGAUCCGUAGCUGGUCUGAGAGGAUGAUCAGCCACACUGGAACUGAGACACGGUCCAGACUCCUACGGGAGGCAGCAGUGGGGAAUAUUGGACAAUGGGCGCAAGCCUGAUCCAGCCAUGCCGCGUGUGUGAAGAAGGCCUUCGGGUUGUAAAGCACUUUUGUUCGGGAAGAAAAGCUACCGGUUAAUACCCGGGAGUCAUGACGGUACCGAAAGAAUAAGCACCGGCUAACUUCGUGCCAGCAGCCGCGGUAAUACGAAGGGUGCAAGCGUUACUCGGAAUUACUGGGCGUAAAGCGUGCGUAGGUGGUGAGUUAAGUCUGUCGUGAAAGCCCCGGGCUCAACCUGGGAAUGGCGAUGGAUACUGGCUCGCUAGAGUGCGGUAGAGGAGAGUGGAAUUCCCGGUGUAGCAGUGAAAUGCGUAGAGAUCGGGAGGAACAUCAGUUGCGAAGGCGGCUCUCUGGACCAACACUGACACUGAGGCACGAAAGCGUGGGGAGCAAACAGGAU